GGCCGGUUGGCCCAAUGGCAAGGCGUCUGACUACGACUAAGCGUUUCUACGAUUUAGUCAGUUAUCAGGAGAUUCUGGGUUCGACCCCCAGGCUGGUCA
rnacentral:tRNA from 1 species